CGUGCGCCUGCGCGGACGGCUAUACGCGCGCCACCGACGCGCUCUGCAUCCCUGAGGACAUUCCGGCCUUCGACGGAAACUCAUACAUGCGACUGAAAGCGCUGGAGGCGUACAACAAGCUGAGCAUCGAGGUGGAGUUCAAGACGUACGAGAGCAACGGCAUCAUCCUGUACACGCAGCAGGAGGACGACGGCACGGGAGACUACGUGUCGCUGGCCGUCGUUAAUGGGCGCGUGCAGUUCCGGCUGAACGUGGGCAACGGCCCGCUGGUGCUGGAGAGCGGCGAGCGCGUGUCGGACGGCGAG